CUUAUUUCUUUAUUCAUUUUAAGAAAGAGAGAAAAGAUUUGAAAAUCGGUUAACACAAUUCAAAUCCUCCUCCCCUAUUUCUUGUGUUUCCUCAACCACUUUCAAUUAUAUCUAUGGGGUUUAAGGUGUCACAAACAAUAUUAUCCUUAUUUUGUACUUUUUCUUUUUCUAUCAUUUUUUUGACGCAUUUUCCUUUUCUAUCAUGAAAGGUUAUAAAUAUAAUGAAAAUUUGUUAGAAAAAAAAUGACUUAUUGUGAUUAUUAAAUUUUUAUGUGAUCUCAUAGAGGUGCUAAAGGGGCAAAUUAAGAUAUUGGUGUUCUUAAGAGACAUACAAUAAUUAUAUCAAUUUUAGAAAGUCUUUUAACAAUUUGAUACGUGCUAAAAACUAUUUAAUUAAUGUAAGGAUAUUAUGAGCUUUAAUUUAUAAAUCAAAACGGGAUAAAAUUUCAUGCAAAAAGGGUGGAAAACAUGGAUAAUUUUCUUAAGUUUGUUUAUGUUAUGAUUUUCCUUUUUUCCCAAUAUCUUGUUUCAGCGCAAUAUUUACCGCGUGCUAAACCCUGUGUUCGUAAUCGUGAUUGUCCAACUUGCCUUUAUCCUGCAAAAAGGAGGUGUUUUAAUCGCAUUUGUGUAUGUCAAGGAUAAGAGAAUACACAAAUGAACCGCUAGAAAAUUUCAUGAGUUGUUAUUUAAUUAAUUACCAUGAUCACCCAAUAAUUAAAUUUUCUUUUACCUUUUUUAAUUUCA